CAGCCGCCGCGGUAAUACGUAGGGUGCAAGCGUUAAUCGGAAUUACUGGGCGUAAAGCGUGCGCAGGCGGUUCGGAAAGAAAGAUGUGAAAUCCCAGAGCUUAACUUUGGAACUGCAUUUUUAACUACCGGGCUAGAGUGUGUCAGAGGGAGGUGGAAUUCCGCGUGUAGCAGUGAAAUGCGUAGAUAUGCGGAGGAACACCGAUGGCGAAGGCAGCCUCCUGGGAUAACACUGACGCUCAUGCACGAAAGCGUGGGGAGCAAACAGGAUUAGAUACCCUGGUAGUCCACGCCCUAAACGAUGUCAACGAGCUGUUGGGGCCUUCGGGCCUUGGUAGCGCAGCUAACGCGUGAAGUUGACCGCCUGGGGAGUACGGUCGCAAGAUUAAAACUUAAAGGAAUUGGCGGG
rnacentral:rRNA from 1 species